AGGUAGCGUAAUCCUUGUCUUUUAAAUGAAGACCUGUAUGAAUGGCACGACGAGGGCUUAACUGUCUCCUUUUUCCGUCAAUGAAAUUGAUCUUCCCGUGCAGAAGCGGGAAUAAGACGAGAAGACCCUAUGGAGCUUUAGACACAAGGCAGCCCAUGUCAAACACCCCCCUAAGGGACUGAACUAAUUGACCCUGCCUUAAUGUCUUUGGUUGGGGCGACCACGGGAAACACAAAACCCCCAUGUGGACCGGGAAGACACAACUAAGAGUUACAGCUCUAAUUAACAGAACUUCUGACCAGAAAUGAUCCGGCACGCCGAUCAACGGACCGAGUUACCCUAGGGAUAACAGCGCAAUCCCCUCUUAGAGCCCAUAUCGACGAGGGGGUUUACGACCUCGA
rnacentral:rRNA from 1 species